GCGACCCCAGGUCAGGCGGGACUACCCGCUGAAUUUAAGCAUAUAAAUAAGCGGAGGAGAAGAAACUUACAAGGAUUCCCCUAGUAACGGCGAGCGAACCGGGGAAU
rnacentral:rRNA from 1 species